GGAGGGGCGGGGUCUAAUGGAUCUGGUAGGACCAGUGUGAGACCGCCCUGGCCAAGUAAGAAGUUGGCAGCCAGUGUGGGCAGAGCAAGAUGCUAGCAGCAUUCUUCUACCCCUUUUACAGGUCUUUCCAGAGAAGGAGAGCAAAACAAGAGAGACCAAGAUGCAGAGAGAGAGAGAGAAACACAAAACGAACUUCUAGAUUGAAACUUGACUCCAACCACAAAGUGACUUCUGACUCAAGCUGUAGACUGAUUCCUGACCCAGCUGUGGACCUAUUUGUGAUCCUGGCUGCACAUUGACCCCAGCCACAUGCUGAUCCCUAGCCCUGGCCACAGAAUUACCUUUGACCCCAGCCCAGAGACCAAUCUCUGACUCUGGCCACCCAGAUCCCUGACCCCGAUACACUGACACCCCACCUUAUCUGGGAUUGGCAUUUUCUGAUUUCAGCUAGUGAAUUCAGCUUGAGUUGGUCAACAUAUCUGGUCUGUCUUUCCUUCCUCUCUGCCAUGGAAGUGAGGAGAAAGCUCAUAGUUCUCCUUUCUAAUCAAAGAGGACAGGGUUAAGAAAGGCCCUUUUGCCACCUUCUGUUCUGCUUUGGAUGUGAUGUCUGGUGGUUUGGCAGCCAUCUUGUGAUCAUGAGGGGACAAGCUUGGAGAAGAAAGAUAGUGUUCUGAAUGUGGCAGAGUGAGAGGG